AUUGAACGCUGGCGGCAUGCCUUACACAUGCAAGUCGAACGGCAGCACGGGUGUUGCACCUGGUGGCGAGUGGCGAACGGGUGAGUAAUACAUCGGAACGUACCUUAUCGUGGGGGAUAACGCAGCGAAAGCUGUGCUAAUACCGCAUACGCCCUGAGGGGGAAAGCGGGGGACCGAAAGACCUCGCGAGAUUAGAGAAGCCGAUGCCUGAUUAGCUUGUUGGUGGGGUAAAAGCCCACCAAGGCGACGAUCAGUAGCUGGUCUGAGAGGACGAUCAGCCACACUGGGACUGAGACACGGCCCAGACUCCUACGGGAGGCAGCAGUGGGGAAUUUUGGACAAUGGGGGCAACCCUGAUCCAGCAAUGCCGCGUGAGUGAAGAAGGCCUUCGGGUUGUAAAGCUCUUUUGUCAGGGAAGAAACACCGGCUCUAACACAGUCCGGGAAUGACGGUACCUGAAGAAUAAGCACCGGCUAACUACGUGCCAGCAGCCGCGGUAA
rnacentral:rRNA from 1 species